UCGGCGAGCCCCAGUCAGCGUUGCAUCUUCUCUCUGCUGCCAUGGCUGCCUACAAGUUGGUGCUGAUCAGGCAAGGAGAGAGCGCCUGGAACCUGGAGAACCGCUUCAGCAGCUGGUAUGAUGCCGACCUGAGUCCAGUGGGCCACGAAGAGGCUAAGCGCGGCGGGCAGGCGCUGCGAGAUACUGGCUAUGAAUUUCACAUCUGCUUCAUCUCAGUGCAGAAGAGAGCGAUCCGGACCCUCUGGACAGUGCUGGAUGCCAUUGACCGGAUGUGGCUGCCUGUGGUGAGGACUUGGCGCCUCAAUAAGCAGCACUAUGAAGGUCUGACUGGCCUCAAUAAAGCGGAAACUGCAGCCAAGCACCGUGAAGCCCAGGUCAAGAUUUGGCGGCGCUCCUAGGAUGUCCCCCCGCCUCCGAUGGAGCCUGAUCAUCCCUUCUAUAGUAACAUCAGUAAGGAUCGCAGGUAUGCAGAUCUCACUGAAGACCAGCUGCCUUCCUUUGAGAGUCUGAAGGACACUAUUGCUAGAGCUCUGCCCUUCUUGAAUGAAGAAAUAGUUCCCCAGAUUAAGGAGGGGAAACGGGUACUAAUUGUAGCCCAUGCCAACAGCCUUUGGGGCAUUGUCAAGCAUCUGGAGGGUCUCUCUGAAGAGGCUAUCAUGGAGCUGAACCUGCCGACUGGUAUUCCUAUGGUCUACAAAUUGGACAAGAACUUGAAGCCCAUCAAGCCCAUGCAGUUCCUGAGGGCUGAAGAGACGGUUAGUAAAGCCAUAGAAGCUGUGGAAGGUGAAGAAGUGAAGGCUAGCAGACAGAAUGCUGCUCAGGGAACACCCUCCUUGCCCUCUCAUUUCUCUACACCUCUCCCCUGCACACUGACCACAUCUGGAAGCAUCAGAAGUGUAGCUACAGACGGGGACCAGUGA